rnacentral:rRNA from 1 species
CGAGACUUUUCCAGUCCGCAAGGAUUGGGAGAGAAAAGUGGCGAAAGGGUGAGUACCACGUGGGUAAUCUGCCUUCAAGUUGGGGAUAACUCGGCGAAAGCUGGGCUAAUACCGAAUGUGGUUGCUGGUCGCAUGAUCGGACAACUAAAGGCGGGGAUUCGCUUCGGCGGACCCGUCGCUUGUUGAGGAGCCCGCGUCCUAUCAGCUUGUUGGUGAGGUAACGGCUUACCAAGGCUUACGGGUAGCUGGUCUGAGACGAUGGUCAGCCACACUGGGACUGAGACACUGCCCAGACUCCUACGGGAGGCUGCAGUCGAGGAUCAUUCGCAAUGCGCGAAAGCGUGACGAUGCGACGCUGCGUGGAGGAUGACGGCCUUCGGGUUGUAAACUCCUGUUAUCCGGGAACAAUAGCGUAAGGUGUAAUAUAUCUUGCGUCCGAUAGUACCGGAAGAGGAAGCCACGGCUAACUCUGUGCCAGCAGCCGCGGUAAUACAGAGGUGGCGAGCGUUGUUCGGAUUUACUGGGCGUAAAGGGUGCGUAGGUGGUUUUGUGUGUCGGGCGUGAAAUCUCGCUGCUCAACGGCGGAACUGCGUUCGAAACUGCAAGACUUGAGUACAGGAGAGGAAAGCGGAAUUCUUGGUGUAGCGGUGGAAUGCGUUGAUAUCAAGAAGAACGCCGGUGGCGAAGGCGGCUUUCUGGAAUGUUACUGACACUGAGGCUCGAAAGUUGGGGGAGCAAACAGGAUUAGAUACCCUGGUAGUCCCAACCCUAAACGGUGUACACUUGGUGUGGGGAGAUUUGACCCUCCCCGUGCCGGAGCUAACGCGUUAAGUGUACCGCCUGGGGAGUACGGCCGCAAGGCUAAAACUCAAAGAAAUUGACGGGGGCCCGCACAAGCGGAGGAGCAUGUGGCUUAAUUCGAUGCAACGCGAAGAACCUUACCAGGGCUUGACAUGCAGCUGCACGCCCCGUGAAAGCGGGGAAGCUUUCGAAGGUGCUGCACAGGUGCUGCAUGGCUGUCGUCAGUUCGUGCCGUGAGGUGUUGGGUUAAGUCCCGCAACGAACGCAACCCCUGUGUCUAGUUGCCACCCCCGGUGAUGAAUCGGGGAGCACUCUAAACAGACUGCCCGUGCAAGCGGGAGGAAGGUGGGGAUGACGUCAAGUCAGUAUGGCCUUUAUGCCCUGGGCUGCACACGUGCUACAAUGGCUGGUACAAUGGGAUGCAAGACCGCAAGGUGGAGCAAAUCCUCAAAACCUGCCUCAGUUGGGAUUGAAGUCUGCAAUUCGACUUCAUGAACGUGGAUUCGCUAGUAAUGGCGCAUCAGCUACGGCGCCGUGAAUACGUUCCCGGGCCUUGUACACACCGCC